CGGUGUUUAACUGGCGUGAUGUGGGACGUCCUACCGGUGGGCUUAGCCUCGCGAGGGGCGGCCCAACUAAUAUCCCGUCGCGGUGCUCUUUACUGAGUGUCGAGUCGGGCCGGUACGUUUACUUUGAACAAAUUAGAGUGCUUAAAGCAGGCUAUCCUCGCCUGAAUACUGCGUGCAUGGAAUAAUGGAAUAGGACCUCGGUUCUAUUUUGUUGGUUUUCGGAACCCCGAGGUAAUGAUUAAUAGGGACAGAUGGGGGCAUUCGUAUUGCGACGUUAGAGGUGAAAUUCUUGGAUCGUCGCAAGACAGACAGAAGCGAAAGCAUUUGCCAAAAAUGUUUUCAUUAAUCAAGAACGAAAGUUAGAGGUUCGAAGGCGAUCAGAUACCGCCCUAGUUCUAACCAUAAACGAUGCCAGCUAGCGAUCCGCCGAAGUUCCUCCGAUGACUCGGCGGGCAGCUUCCGGGAAACCAAAGCUUUUGGGUUCCGGGGGAAGUAUGGUUGCAAAGCUGAAACUUAAAGGAAUUGACGGAAGGGCACCACCAGGAGUGGAGCCUGCGGCUUAAUUUGACUCAACACGGGAAACCUCACCAGGCCCAGACACCGGAAGGAUUGACAGAUUGAUAGCUCUUUUUUGAUUCGGUGGGUGGUGGUGCAUGGCCGUUUUUAGUUGGUGGAGAGAUUUGUCUGGUUAAUUCUGAUAACGAACGAGACUCUAGCCUGCUAAAUAGGCGUACCUUAUGGUAUUAUGAAGGCCCCCGGCUUCGGCCGGUGGGUUUUUACUACCAACGUACAAACAAAUCUUCUAGAGGGACAGGCGG
rnacentral:rRNA from 1 species